rnacentral:rRNA from 1 species
UGCAAGGUUAAGCAGUAAAUGUGGAGCCGUAGCGAAAGCGAGUCUGAAUAGGGCGUUUAGUAUUUGGUCGUAGACCCGAAACCAGGUGAUCUACCCUUGGUCAGGUUGAAGUUCAGGUAACACUGAAUGGAGGACCGAACCGACUUACGUUGAAAAGUGAGCGGAUGAACUGAGGGUAGCGGAGAAAUUCCAAUCGAACCUGGAGAUAGCUGGUUCUCUCCGAAAUAGCUUUAGGGCUAGCCUCAAGUGAUGAUUAUUGGAGGUAGAGCACUGUUUGGACGAGGGGCCCCUCUCGGGUUACCGAAUUCAGACAAACUCCGAAUGCCAAUUAAUUUAACUUGGGAGUCAGAACAUGGGUGAUAAGGUCCGUGUUCGAAAGGGAAACAGCCCAGACCACCAGCUAAGGUCCCAAAAUAUAUGUUAAGUGGAAAAGGAUGUGGCGUUGCCCAGACAACUAGGAUGUUGGCUUAGAAGCAGCCAUCAUUUAAAGAGUGCGUAAUAGCUCACUAGUCGAGUGACACUGCGCCGAAAAUGUACCGGGGCUAAACAUAUUACCGAAGCUGUGGAUUGUCCUUUGGACAAUGGUAGGAGAGCGUUCUAAGGGCGUUGAAGCAUGAUCGUAAGGACAUGUGGAGCGCUUAGAAGUGAGAAUGCCGGUGUGAGUAGCGAAAGACGGGUGAGAAUCCCGUCCACCGAUUGACUAAGGUUUCCAGAGGAAGGCUCGUCCGCUCUGGGUUAGUCGGGUCCUAAGCUGAGGCCGACAGGCGUAGGCGAUGGAUAACAGGUUGAUAUUCCUGUACCACCUAU